GACGAACGCUGGCGGCGUGCUUAACACAUGCAAGUCGAGCGGAGCGGCGAACGGGUGAGUAAAGCGUGAGUAACUGCCCCCCUCUCUGGGAUAACAGUUGGAAACGGCUGCUAAUACCGGAUAGUUGGGGAUGGCUCGCGGACUAUCAGCUUGUUGGUGGGGUGAUGGCUCACCAAGGCGGUGACGGGUAGCCGGCCUGAGAGGGUGGUAGGCCACAUUGGGCUGAGAUACGGCCCAGACUCCUACGGGAGGCAGCAGUGGGGGAUAUUGCACAAUGGGCGCAAGCCUGAUGCAGCGACGCCGCGUGAGGGAUGAAGGCUUUCGGGUUGUAAACCUCUUUCGUUACAGAACGGGUAUGUGCAGAAGAAGCGCCGGCUAACUACGUGCCAGCAGCCGCGGUAAUUC
rnacentral:rRNA from 1 species